rnacentral:rRNA from 1 species
UACAGAGGGGGCAAGCGUUGUCCGGAAUUACUGGGCGUAAAGAGCUCGUAGGUGGUUUGUCGCGUUGUUCGUGAAAACUCACAGCUUAACUGUGGGCGUGCGGGCGAUACGGGCAGACUGGAGUACUGCAGGGGAGACUGGAAUUCCUGGUGUAGCGGUGGAAUGCGCAGAUAUCAGGAGGAACACCGGUGGCGAAGGCGGGUCUCUGGGCAGUAACUGACGCUGAGGAGCGAAAGCGUGGGGAGCGAACAGG